rnacentral:lncRNA from 1 species
AUGUGGGUGUUGGGCCAGGCUGUGGGGUCACUCUGCGGCCAGCUGUGGGACACUGCUGUGGGGUUUUCUCCCUCCCACCAGACUGUGUGGAUCACUCUAAGGAUUACUUGGGGGUCUGUUUUGUGCACAUUGGACCCCACUGGACCCCUUCAAUGCUGCUACAUCAAUGAACCAGAAACGCUGCUCCCCACUUCUUGCCAUGAUUCAGCCAACUCUGUGCAAUUCUGGCCUUCACAGUGCUGCAUUCAGACCUGGCCCAGAAGACCUUCAUCUUUUCCUACCCAGGCUCCAUCCCCCAGCAUGGCCCUGUGUCCCUCUCCGUCCCUGUUUGGCCCACUCCCCUGUUCUGGCCAUCUCAGUGUGUGGGUGCCACCGCGUACUCUCUUCACAUGAGAUUUGUUGAUUUCAUAACCACAAAUAGAUAAAAUAUUCUGAAUGUUUUCAUGUGCAAGUAGCAUUGAAGAAAUGAUUGCAUAAUCAAAAGGCCUCAGGAGAAAGAAAACAGCCUGCAGAGAUGCAGCUGAGCGCAUCACAGUCAUGGCACAAGCCAGCUCUACAUGAGUCUGUGUUGUCACUGAAGAGACUGGGCAUCACAGACACCAGACUACAGAGGGUACUGGAGAAUAUGUUCGGAAACCCUUACGUGGUUUCUAAUUCAAUUCAAAAGAACAAUCAAAUAAUAAUAAUAAUCUGGUUUUAAAAAAAAGAAGUUGAAGUCAGGAAAUAUGGAUCCUAAUUCUGGAUUUAUCUCCUGCUAGCUCUGUGACAUUGGGAAGUCACUCAAACUGUCUGAGAAAUAUAUAGAUAUUCUUCUCCUGGAAGGUUCAGGAGGCCUGAGGUGCCAUGAUACCCUCAUUUUCUUCCACUAAGGAAAAUUCGUCUCCCUGACAGUAACUUAUCAUCACCUUGGGACAAUCCCUCUUCCCAAGAUGUAGUCCUGAGAGCUGGGCUCAUGAUAGGGAUGGAAUGGUUGUGCCUUGCCAGGUCCAACUCAUGUUGCCAUGGGAACAGGAUGUGGAGCAUUAUUUCUGCUCCACAGAAAAUUGUACAGGUGUAACACAACUACAAAGUGGGCUGGAAGACAGUAAGUCUCCCCAGUCUCUCCUCCAUUAAGGAAUACUUAAGGAAUACUACUGCUCCAUGGCAUUUGGAAAAGCAAAGGGAGAUGAAAUGACAAGUUAGAGUGCCCUGGACUGAGAGAGAGAAAGAGUGGAUAUAUUUUGCAAAGAGCUUGUCCUCUAUUGAUGGCAAACUUUUUCUGUAAAGGACUGAGUAGUAAAUAUUUUGAGUUUUAUGGGCCAUCUGGUCUCUGUCAUCACCACUCAACUCUGCCACUAUAGUGUGAAAAGACAGUAAGUAAACUAAUGGAUGUGGAUGUGUUUCAAUAAAACUUUAUUUACGAAAGGAGGUAGUGGUCCAGAUUGGCCUGUGGGUCAUAGUGUAUAUGUCCCUGAUCUACUGUGUGAUGCAAGACAAUAAACCUGGGUUGGGAAACAGGAGUUAGGCUUAAAGUAAAGCACUGCCAGUAUCUUAUUGUGUGACUCUAAGUUAUUGUCUAUCUCUUAUUCUUAGUUUCCCUUUCAUGUAAGCAUACAUAUUGAUCACGAGAAUAUGUUUAACCUGUCAGAGCAAAUCUGAACUCUCUUUAUCCAUUUUCUCCAUCACUUUAAAUGGAGCUGCACCUGCUGUCCACCCUACCCUGGCCAGACCAGGCCUUUGACGGCUGAGGGUAGUUGGCACCCUGCCAGGAGGGGAAGGUGUCUCACCAGAAUCAGACUUUGAUCUGUCUUUCCAAUCUUCAGCCCCAAGUGACCCCAUUUCUGUAGCAAGCCAAGCACAGGAAGAAAUGAAGAAUCGCUUUUUCCACCAUCCAGUCAUUUGGCAGGAGGCUACAGUUCAUCUGAAGGAGUAAUGUGGCUGCAGUAGCUGUUAGCCAGGAUUUGGAGGAGGCCAUAGAGACUCAGGCUGGGACUAGAAUCAGGACAGAUGAGCUUCCAUGCUCCCUUAUAACAUGCAUCUAUUGGACCCAAGUUAAGGUGUUACAGUACAGCUGCAGUCCAGUGAUCACCUGCAGCACUUCCAGUUGCAUUGUGGAGCCUAAAUUAUCUCAUCCACCCGCCUGGUCUGAUGACCACUGAGUGCUUGUAGCCUUAGGCAUUAUUUUGUCUCUGAAGUUCCUUCAAGUGAUCCUCUGUCUCUCUUUCUCCCCCACCUUUUAUCACUUCUCUUUCUGAUAUGUUGACAGCCCUCUGUCAAGAUCCUUGCCCCAAAUUUUCAGAAAAGCAGCCAGGAGUUUCUAUGCUGUUCUGCAGAACCAGAUUUUCCAUCCACCCUCCACUGUCUUCCCAGGAGGUCAUCCUCUUGGAACUCUAUGGAAAGAUACACCACCUCCUCUUUAAUAGAGGUUCAGGAGUGAUAGUCCCUGUAGGUCCCCCAAUACAUCUAUGGAAGAGAGGAGCAAGGGAUCUCAUGGUCUGCUCUUGCAGUAAAAAAGCCUUUUUCGGAAAAAAGUAAUAAAGGAACCAGCCAAUCCCUCCUCGAUGCCAUCACCUCUUCUUGGUGAUUUUUUUGGGGGAAGGAGUGGGUGGGUUGCCAUGGCAACAGAUGCGAGCUCUGCUCAGUAAAGAAGGGGCCUUGAUAUUUUUCUCUCUCUCAUUCUCUCAGUUGUGUGUGUGUGUAUGUGUGUGAGUUUGUGUAUGUGUGUGCUACACAUGCCGGUGCCCACACCCGGAAUUUUUUUUAGAACUAAAGAAAGACCUUGUCUUCUCUCAGCUCCCCAAAUAUGGAAUGAUGGAAAACCACUUACCCCUCCAAGCCAGAGAAGAAUUGGGAUGGUUCUAGAGAAAGGGGAAUACUCAUGUGGGGGCUGUUCCUCUAUGAUUUUGCUAGAGAUUGCAUGAAAUCAAGAGACCUUUGCAAAUGUUUGGGAUCUAAGGAUUGGAAAGAGGGGAAGAUUCUGGGUAGAGAGAGGUAAGUAAAGCGUAGACAGUGCACGGACUCAGCUUGUGAUGACAGAGAGGGCAGCAGAAGGGACAUUGAGUCUGGGGAAGCAUACAGAUCUGUGUACACCAUUAGGAGCUGAGAGGGAAAGGUGCAGAGCACAUUUAGCACACACAAACACAUGCACAUAAAGUGGUAAACAUAAAUAUAUAGGGGACAAACAUGGAACUACAUAUAACACAGGAAGGUGGAGACUUUGCAGGUAUAGGCAAAGAGAGGAAGAGGGAUACAGAUACACAGCUAUAGAGACACUUGCAGACAGAUACAUGGAAAGAAACACAAAUGCAUUCAGACAGGAUCAGAUGCAGAAACAGCAAUAUACAAAGAGCCUCAGUUAAGUGAACACACAAACACACACGUGUUCAUGCAGUCACAGACUCCCUCUCUUAAACUGCUCAAACAUCCUUGAGAAGCAGUGCAUUGCUGGGAAUGCUGCAUGCUCAGUCAGCAGAUUUUGUGGGGAGGCUUCUGCUCCCCCAAUACUUUUCACAUACUCGCCCCAAAGACCCUUUCCCAAUUCCUUCCUUUGCCCACUUUCCCAUAGCCAAAGGACUAGGUUGCCUCCCCUAUCUCAGGCUUCAAAUUCCUAGCCUGCUCUGCUGCUUCUGCUGCUGCCGCCGCUUGUGGGGGAGAGUGGGUGACUCAGCCAGGCCAGGAUGACUCACACUGCCAGUAUUUUUAGCAGCGGCCAGGAGCUCUCUAGUGUGCCUGCCGCCCCCCUCCUCCUGCUUGCUAUUUCAGAACCAUCACUGGUGAUAUAAAUAGCUCCUCUCCCACGGCCUGAAGCUGCUGCCAAACUAUUUUUGGUUCUGCACAGUUAAAAAUAGUUUCACGGAGGUGGGAGGCAAGAGGAGUGGAGGCUGGCCUAGGGAGAGGAGACAUUAGGGGCAUACAGAGAUUCUCAACUUGAAUCAGAGUGGGCAAACUAAGAUGCGACCUUAUCUACCCCCUCCUUUGUCCCUUUCUAGACCCUUCUAGCCUUCAAAAAUGCUUUCUCCCAAGUCCAUUCUCCUGGAAAAAUCCAGGGACUCUUUCCUUGAGCCCACUUCUCUUCUCUUCUUAUUAACUCCUAGAGCUCAGAAAUCUUGGCCCCCGGAACCCCGUAUUUAUCCUCAGCGAGGAGGGGGACAAAUAAAGGGGGCUCCACCGUGAGGCCCGUGUGGACCUCAGCCUGACUUUGGUUCCAGGCAGACUGUAGCCAAUCUGACGGAAGGGCUAUUGUUUCAGCACCACGGACAGCGACAAGCCUCCACUCUGGAUCAGCGGGCUGGCUACAGACUAGCUAGACCAAGCCGAUAGACCCCUUUAUUGUGUCAGGGAUAACAAAAAUGUUUCCCACACAGGAUCUGAAGUAUCUAUGGGAAACUUGCCCUGGAUUUUCAUAUGGGAAAGUGGUCCAAAGAUAAAAAGAAUGGAAACAACACACCAGAGACAUCCUGAAGCAGCUGUCCUUCAAGUUGAUAGAGUUGGAGAUAGCAACACAUACACACAACCCUUCCUUCUCAGUUGUGCCACUGACUACAAGGUGGUUUAUGUAGAUGGCUCCAGACAGAUGGCUUCCAAAAAUCAUCAGGUUAGGGCCUUCAGAUCCAUGUUCUCCUCUUCUAAGACGCCUUUCAAUAGCCUUUGCUCCUAUAUUGCCUCUCUUGCUACCAUUUUUGCCUUGAAGAUUUGGGAAUUCUUGGACCCUCAGCUUUUCGUAUUGGUGUCAAAGUUCAUCUCCACUCUUUCCUUUUGACUUUUGACAGGCUGUCCCUCAAUUUUAAGUGGCCUCAUUUGCAGCCCCCACAGUUGAUCUCACAACCCUUCCUCUCCCAUAAUUCAUGUAAACAUUUCCCUCUACCACUGCCUUCUCACCUUAAGGGAUUCUAAGGCAAGAGGGGCACAGCCUGUGCCCCUUUAGAAAGCAGUUAUGUUGUUUGUAGGGAAUAAAGAAGAUGGAGGCGAGGAAAAGGCCACAGGAUGCAGGAGCAAACCUGAAAAAGACAAAAAGGAAGACAGGCGCGAUCAAACAGAAGGGGAAUCUUUGAGGGUCAGGUGGUGCACAAAGCCGAGAUAGUGAGAUGAACUAAUGAGGUGGGGAGGUGAGGAUGGAGAGACUGAAUGAGGGGUCUUAGUACCAAAGAUGCGGAGAGGGUUGGAGGCAGAUGUGCAGGACAGCCUGGCAGAGUUACAAGGUCCCGAGGAGGUGCAGCAGUCACGGAGCGCCCGGCACGGACCACCCACCCCCUUUCUGCUGCCUCCCCCUCUUCCUCGCCGAAGCAAGGGGGAAACUCUCCGGAGCGGUGCGGAGGCAGCCAGGCCC